GGCCGUGUGGUCUAGUAGUAUGAUACUCGCUUUGGGCUUCUGACCUGAAUAUGCGAGUGGUCCAGGGUUCAAUUCCCUGCUCGGCCC